rnacentral:rRNA from 1 species
AUGGCCGCGGAGACAAUGCCACCCCAACCCCACGCCGUGUGCCUGCCGUACCCGGCGCAGGGCCACAUCGCCCCCAUGCUCAACGUCGCCAAGCUGCUUCACGCUCGCGGCUUCCACGUUACCUUCGUCAACUCCGAGUACAACCACGCCCGCCUCGUCCGGACGCGUGGCGCAGCCGCCAUGGCCGGCGCCGCGGGCUUCCGCUUCGCCACCAUCCCGGACGGCAUGCAGGCGCCGUCCAGCGGCGAAGAUGACGAUGUCACGCAGGACAUCCCGUCGCUAUGCAAGUCCACCACGGAGACCUGCCUCGGGCCCUUCCGCCGCCUCCUCGCCGAGCUCAACGCGGCGAGGGACCGCCCUCCCGUCACCUGCGUCGUCUCCGACCUCAUCAUGGGCUUCUCCAUGGACGCGGCCAAGGAGCUUGGCCUCCCCUACGUCCAGCUCUGGACGGCCAGCACCAUCAGCUACCUCGGGUACCGACAUUACCGCCUCCUCAUUGACCGCGGCAUCGCCCCACUUAAAGAUAUGAAACAGUUGACGGAUGGAUACCUUGACAUGCCGGUGGAAGACGUCCCGGGCCUGAGGAGCAUGAGGCUCAGGGACUUCCCGACCUUCAUACGCAGCACGGACCCAGAUGAGUUCAUGGUGCGUUACGCCAUCAAGGAGACAGAGCGCGCAGCCGGCGCAACGGCCGUGAUCCUCAACAGCUUCGGCGAUCUAGAGGGCGAGGCGGUGGAGGCCAUGGAACCGCUUCUCGGUGACGGCAACGGCAAGCCCAAGGUGUACACGGUCGGCCCGCUGAGUCUGCUCGCGCCGCGCUCCACGAGCAGUACCAUCAGUAGCCUCAGCCUGUGGAAGGAGCAGGAGGAGUGCCUCCAGUGGCUCCAAGGCAAGGAGCCCGCCUCCGUCGUGUACGUCAACUUCGGGAGCAUCGUCGUCAUGACCAGCGAGCAGCUGGUGGAGUUCGCGUGGGGGCUAGCCAACAGCGGCCAGCACUUCGUAUGGGUCAUUCGCCCCGACCUCGUGAGGGGCGACUCCGCGGUGCUUCCCCCGGAGUUCCUGACGGAGACGGCGGGGCGCAGGCUCAUGGCCUCCUGGUGCCCGCAGCAGGAGGUGCUGAACCAUCCGGCGGUGGGCGCGUUCCUGACGCACAGUGGCUGGAACUCGACACUGGAGAGCAUGUGCGGCGGCGUGCCCGUCAUCAGUUGGCCCUUCUUCGGCGACCAACAGACCAACUGCAGGUACCAGUGCAAAGAGUGGGGCGUCGGCAUGGAGAUCGACAACAACGUCCAGCGCGAUGCCGUCACGGGCCUCAUCGCGGAGCUCAUGGACGGGGAGAAGGGCAAGCAGAUGAGGAAGAGGGCGAUGGAGUGGCAGGAGAAGGCCAUCAUGGCGGCCAAGCCCGGCGGUUCGUCCCACCGCAAUUUCGACGAGUUGGUCCGGGAUGUACUCCUGCCCAAGAACGGCGACGACGCACACGGUGUCGCGCGGGAUUAA